CCUACGGAGGGCUGCAGUGGGGAAUAUUGGACAAUGGGCGAAAGCCUGAUCCAGCCAUGCCGCGUGUGUGAAGAAGGCCUUCGGGUUGUAAAGCACUUUCAGUGGGGAAGAAAGCCUUGGGGCUAAUACCCUCGAGGAAGGACAUCACCCACAGAAGAAGCACCGGCUAACUCCGUGCCAGCAGCCGCGGUAAUACGGAGGGUGCGAGCGUUAAUCGGAAUUACUGGGCGUAAAGCGCGCGUAGGCGGUCUGAUAAGCCGGUUGUGAAAGCCCCGGGCUCAACCUGGGAACGGCAUCCGGAACUGUCAGGCUAGAGUGCAGGAGAGGAAGGUAGAAUUCCCGGUGUAGCGGUGAAAUGCGUAGAGAUCGGGAGGAAUACCAGUGGCGAAGGCGGCCUUCUGGACUGACACUGACGCUGAGGUGCGAAAGCGUGGGUAGCAAACAGGAUUAGAUACCCGAGUAGUC
rnacentral:rRNA from 1 species